AGGGGUAUAGCUCAAGUGGUAGAGCGCAUGCUUGAGGUCCUGGGUUCAAUCCCCAGUACUUCUC
rnacentral:tRNA from 1 species